UGUAGGUUUAUACUCCAACCCUGUUCCUGGAGAGACACCCUCCUGUAGGUUUAUACUCCAACCCUGUUCCUGGAGAGACACCCUCCUGUAGGUUUAUACUCCAACCCUGUUCCUGGAGAGAUACCCUCCUGUAGGUUUAUACUCCAACCCUGUUCCUGGAGAGACACCCUCCUGUAGGUUUAUACUCCAACCCUGUUCCUGGAGAGAUACCCUCCUGUAGGUUUAUACUCCAACCCUGUUCCUGGAGAGAUACCCUCCUGUAGGUUUUAACUCCAACCCUGUUCCUGGAGAGACACCCUCCUGUAGGUUUUAACUCCAACC